AUGGGGACUGAGACCACGGCCCCAGACUCUUACGGGAGCCAGCAGUGGGGGAUAUUGGACAAUGGGGGCAACCCUGAUCCAGCGACGCCGGCGGAGGGAAGAAGGUUUUCGGAUUGUAAACCUCUGUGACAGGGAAGAAAAUGACAGUACCUGUUUAGAAAGCCACGGCUAACUACGUGCCAGCAGCCGCGGUAAUACGUAGGUGGCAAGCGUUGUCCGGWAUUACUGGGUGUAAAGGGAGCGUAGGCGGGGCGCCAAGUCAGAAGUGAAAAUUAUGGGCUCAACUCAUAACCUGCUUUUGAAACUGGUGCUCUUGAGUGAAGUAGAGGCAAGCGGAAUUCCUAGUGUAGCGGUGAAAUGCGUAGAUAUUAGGAGGAACACCAGUGGCGAAGGCGGCUUGCUGGGCUUUUACUGACGCUGAGGCUCGAAAGCGUGGGGAGCAAACAGGAUUAGAUACCCUGGUAGUCCACGCUGUAAACGAUGAUUACUAGGUGUGGGGGGAUUGACCCCUUCCGUGCCGCAGUUAACACAAUAAGUAAUCCACCUGGGGAGUACGACCGCAAGGUUGAAACUCAAAGGAAUUGACGGGGGCCCGCACAAGCAGUGGAGUAUGUGGAUUAAUUCGAAGCAACGCGAAGAACCUUACCGGGUCUUGACAUCGAGUGACCGCUCUAGAGAUAGAGCUUUCUCUUCGGAGACACGAAGACAGGUGGUGCAUGGUUGUCGUCAGCUCGUGUCGUGAGAUGUUGGGUUAAGUCCCGCAACGAGCGCAACCCUUAUCCCCAGUAGCCAGCGGCGUGGCCGGGCACUCUGAGGAGACUGCCAGGGACAACCUGGAGGAAGGUGGGGAUGACGUCAAAUCAUCAUGCCCCUUAUGACCUGGGCUACACACGUGCUACAAUGGCGUAACAGAGGGAAGCAAACCCGCGAGGGGGAGCGAACCCCAAAAUAACGUCCCAGUUCGACUGAAGUCUGCAMCCCGACUUCACGAAGCUGGAAUCGCUAGUAAUCGCGAAUCAGCAUGUCGCGGUGA
rnacentral:rRNA from 1 species